GCUUACGGCCACACGGCCUGAGUACGCCUGAUCUCGUUCCGAUCUCGGAAGCUAAGCAGGGUCGGGCCUGGUUAGUACUUGGAUGGGAGACCGCCUGGGCAUACCAGGUGCUGUAAGCU
rnacentral:rRNA from 1 species